rnacentral:rRNA from 1 species
CCUACGGGAGGCAGCAGUGAGGAAUAUUGGUCAAUGGACGCAAGUCUGAACCAGCCAUGCCGCGUGCAGGAAGACGGCUCUAUGAGUUGUAAACUGCUUUUGUACGAGGGUAAACGCAGAUACGCGUAUCUGUCUGAAAGUAUCGUACGAAUAAGGAUCGGCUAACUCCUUGCCAGCAGCCGCGGUAAUACGGAGGAUUCAAGCGUUAUCCGGAUUUAUUGGGUUUAAAGGGUGCGUAGGCGGUCGGAUAAGUUAGAGGUGAAAUCCCGAGGCUCCACUUCGGAAUUGCCUCUGAUACUGUUCGGCUAGAGAGUAGUUGCGGUAGGCGGAAUGUAUGGUGUAGCGGGGAAAUGCUUAGAGAUCAUACAGAACACCGAUUGCGAAGGCAGCUUACCAAGCUACUUCUGACGUUGAGGCACGAAAGCGUGGGGAGCAAACAGGAUUAGAUACCCCUGUAGUC